GGUGAGAAGACUGCGGUUGGGGAAAGUGAGGCCGUCGACUCUGUGACGUCAGUACCAACGAGAGGCGGCCGAGAGUUGCGCGAGACCUGUGAAUGACACGCGCGUGAAGCACGAGGCGGGCCAAGGAAUCUGCCUCGUGCCAAAAACAUCUUUAUGUUAAUAACUCUCACCGUCUCUCUUUCUCUCGCUCUUUGUGCGCGUGGGUGUGCGUGUGUCUGUGUGUGUGUGCUUGUGCCUCUGUGUGUGUGUGUGAGUGCGCGCGCGUGCCUGUAUGUGUGUCCGUAUUUAAUAGCAUGACCGGCGUGCCCGCAAGGCCUAAUCGCACGGCAGCAGCAGCAGGCUGGAGUCUUGGAGUCUUGGAGUCGUGGAGGGGCUGGUCACGGGUCCUCGCCACUACCUCGGCAGUCGGAGCAGAGAUUUGGCGCCAGUGGCUACUGCACGGGUAGCGCCGUCAGAUCACAUCAGAUCUUUGCCCUUUGACCCCUUCACUGAUCCUGAUGUGCAGGCCAACUUUGCUGUGCUUUCAAUUUUGUUGUACUUAGUGUCCCGCUGGAGUCGACUGUUCUGGAACAAAAUAAUUCCCUGGAUUGUCCAGCUUCUUUGACUGAAGUUCUCUUUCUGUAGUAACCACUGCAGACAAUACUCAGGCUUCCUGUCGGCCAGAAGUACCAAGACAUCCUCGCGAUGACACUUGUGUCCCUGUCAGUAUGUCCAUAAAGUAUUGAGGAAACAUCAGGAACAGUUCAUCAGCCAUUGAAUUACAAUUUGGAGGCUCAAGUUUUUCUGAAAACUUUCUGCACUUCAUACUUUUGUGGAAAAAAACAAGUUUUGUACCUCCUCUACAAAGUGGACUGUGGGUGGGAGCAUUUGCACCAAAUAAAGAAACCGUGAAAUAUAAAGACCAAGUCCAUCAUGAGUAUCUUGGAGACGGAGGUGUCUUACCUCAGCACCCCUCUGCCAACCUUCAAUUUCACCUACGGCCACACUGUGGACAACCUUUCCGACUCCACCAGCGCCAGCAGCGACAGCACAGCCUCCCCGUGGGGCAUGUAUGGCCCGCUGGAACAGUACAUGCUGCUGUGGGUCAUGUUGGGCAUCAACAAGUACUAUUUGUGGGCUGUCUUCAUCAUCGGUUUCCCAGGCAACCUGCUUAGCCUCAUUACCAUCCUGCGCAUGCCGACUGUCAGCUCCUCCAAGAUGCACGUGGCAUUGCUGGCAGUCAUCGACAACUUUGCCAUCACCACCAAACUCCUCUACCACCAGCUGACUCUGUACAAUGUGCCGUUGUAUGAUGCUGGUUGCAGGGUGAUGCUGUUCUUCGGCAAUUUCUUCUCCAUCUUCGCGAGCUGGAUUCUGGUGGCCAUGACCGUGGAAAGGUUCAUCGCGGUUUGGUUUCCUCUGAAGGUCAACCGCAUCUACUCCAAGACCAAGGCCACACUGGUCCUCGUGUCAGUCACCAUGCUGACCUUCUGCUUCAACGCCGUGUACUUCUGGAUCAUCCACGAGGACCACAGGGGCUCCACCCGCAAGUGCCAGCCCAGGCCGCAGUUCCAGGACUUCAUGAAAUACUACUGGAACCUCGCCGAUGCGUUGGCCUACGCCAUCAUCCCUUGCGUGUUGGUCCUGCUGAGCAACACCCUCAUCAUCAUCAACGUGCAGAUGGCAUCGAAGACUCAGCGCCACCUGACCAACAAUUUCGACCAAUCAGCACGCCGGGUUCGCGACCAGCAGCAAAUCACCACCAUGCUGAUCGUCAUCUCCGUGGCUUUUCUUACACUCAUGCUUCCCAACAGCAUCUUCUACAUUGUGAAGGAUUAUUGGGUCUACGAAGCCAACACCUUUGGACAGUUGGAGCACGCGUUCGUCAAGCAGAUCAUCCACGUCUUGAGCGACCUCAACCACUCCAUCAACUUCUACCUCUACUUCUUAUCCAUGGCCACCUUUCGCAGGCGGUUCAAGGAUACCAUGUACUGCAGGAAGGCAAAAAAGAAGCAGAAAGGUUCCAACAGCAGCGUCUUCAAGACCUCUCACUCCUACAUAUCCUUCCACUCCACGCACAGCACCCUGAAGCAGCGCGGAGACCUUCAUCAGAGCCACAGCCUCACCAACGUCUCGGAUGUCAGCAGUGAACUCUAACGACCAUCUCACGAUGGCAUCCACCCCACCACGGUGUUUACGAUGGCAUGUUUGAUGAUAUGAAUGACGG
rnacentral:misc_RNA from 1 species